rnacentral:rRNA from 1 species
CAGCAGCCGCGGGAAUACAGAGGGUGCGAGCGUUAAUCGGAUUUACUGGGCGUAAAGCGUGCGUAGGCGGUCUGACAAGUCAGAUGUGAAAUCCCCGGGCUUAACCUGGGAACUGCAUUUGAAACUGUCAGGCUGGAGUCUUGUAGAGGGGGGUGGAAUUCCAGGUGUAGCGGUGAAAUGCGUAGAGAUCUGGAGGAAUACCGGUGGCGAAGGCGGCCCCCUGGACAAAGACUGACGCUCAGGUGCGAAAGCGUGGGGAGCAAACAGGAUUAGAUACCCCAGUAGUCCCUGUCUCUUAUAC